UCCCUGAUGGCUCAGUGGUAAAGAAUCUGCCUGCAAUGCAGGAGACCCAGGUUCGAUCUCUGGGUCGGGAAG
rnacentral:tRNA from 1 species